AUGAGUCGCGCAAGGAGCGUCCGCUCGCAUGGUCCACGUGGCCAGAAGGGAUUCGCAAUGUGCUACUGUUCAAACUGUAGAGGAAUAUUUCCAGGUAGCUUCCUCUCUGAAUCCAUCGCCAUCGCCCGCUUCUCUUUACCCACGCACGCAACCUCCUCCCCUGCCUCAAUGGCCGCCGCUCUCGUCUCCUCUUUUCCUCUCUCCCUCUCUCGUUUCCUCUCCCAUGUGACCCGCCGCCACGGGCGUCGCCAGCGGGAGAGUAGACGGCUCCGCUCUCCCACGCAGCCACACAAACGGCGUCGCCUCGAGGGAGGAGUGGGUGGGAGGAGAAGACGGCGGCGGCGUUUUCGUUCUGUGAUUUGCCUCGCACGUGCGGCGGUGGAUCGAUCCGGUUGCCCGCCGCCGUUGUCGCCUGCUCUCCCCACUCGCGUCACCCGACCCUAG
rnacentral:rRNA from 1 species